UAAGGAAUAUUGGUCAAUGGAGGCGACUCUGAACCAGCCAUGCCGCGUGCAGGAAGAAGGCCCUAUGGGUCGUAAACUGCUUUUGAACAAGAGAAAACCCCGGUACGUGUACUGGGUUGAUAGUAUUGUUAGAAUAAGCAUCGGCUAACUUCGUGCCAGCAGCCGCGGUAAGACGAAGGAUGCAAGCGUUAUCCGGAUUCAUUGGGUUUAAAGGGUGCGUAGGCGGACUGAUAAGUCAGUGGUGAAAUCUCUCGGCUUAACCGAGAAACUGCCAUUGAUACUGUUAGUCUAGAGUACAGAUGAUGUGGGCGGAAUAUGACAUGUAAGUGGUGAAAUACUUAGAUAUGUCAUAGAACACCGAUUGCGAAGGCAGCUCACAAAACUGUAAACUGACGCUGAGGCACGAAAGUGCGGGGAUCAAACAGGAUUAGAUACUCAUGUAGUCCCUGAGCGGGCUGGCAAGGCGCAU
rnacentral:rRNA from 1 species